AUUGAACGCUGGCGGCAGGCUUAACACAUGCAAGUCGAACGAGUGGCGGACGGGUGAGUAAUGCUUGGGAAUCUGGCUUAUGGAGGGGGAUAACGACUGGAAACUGUCGCUAAUACCGCGUACCAUAGGAUGAGCCCAAGUGGGAUUAGGUAGUUGGUGGGGUAAUGGCCUACCAAGCCGACGAUCCCUAGCUGGUCUGAGAGGAGGACCAGCCAAACUGGUACUGAGACACGGCCCGGACUCCUACGGGAGGCAGCAGUGGGGAAUAUUGCGCAAUGGGCGCAAUCUGAUGCAGCCAUGCCGCGUGUGUGAAGAAGGCCUUCGGGUUGUAAAGUUCUUUCGGUGAGGAGGCGUUAAUCACAGAAGAAGCACCGGCUAACUCCGUGCCAGCAGCCGCGGUAAUAC
rnacentral:rRNA from 1 species